rnacentral:rRNA from 1 species
CACGUAGGUGGUCCGGUAACUCAGUCGUGGAAUCCCGCCGCUCACCGGUGGAAUUGCGACUGAAAAUGCCAGACUUGAGCGCAGGAGGGGUGAGGGGAACUCUAGGUGGAGCGGUGAAAUGCGUAGAUAUCUAGAGGAACGCCGGAGGCGAAAGCGCCUCACUGGCCUGCUGCUGACACUGAGGUGCGAAAGCCAGGGGAGCAAACGGGAUUAGAUACCCCGGUAGUCCUGGCUGUAAACGAUGCUCACUAAGUAGGGGGAAACCUGAUUUUCUCCCUGCCGAACCUAACGGAUUAAGUGAGCCGCCUGGGGAGUACGGUCGCAAGGCUAAA